UACAGAGGUCCCAAGCGUUGUUCGGAUUCACUGGGCGUAAAGGGUGCGUAGGCGGUUCGUUGGGUCUGUGGUGAAAGCCCCGGGCUUAACCUGGGAAUGGCCAUGGAAACUGGCGAGCUGGAGUGUGGCAGAGGGGGGUGGAAUUCCGCGUGUAGCAGUGAAAUGCGUAGAGAUGCGGAGGAACACCGAUGGCGAAGGCAGCCCCCUGGGCUAACACUGACGCUGAGGCACGAAGGUCAGGGGAGCAAACGGG
rnacentral:rRNA from 1 species